CGAGCACGCGCGUGUGGCAUAUCAAUAAGCGGAGGAAAAGAAACUAACAAGGAUUCCCUUAGUAACGGCGAGUGAAGCGGGAAGAGCUCAAAUUUGAAAUCUUCAAGGUUCUACCUUGACGAAUUGUAGUUUAUAGAAGUGUUUUCGGUUAGUAGGAGUAGUCAAAAGUUCUUGGAAUAGGACAUCAUAGAGGGUGAGAAUCCCGUAUUUGAUCAUUCUUUCUAGCUUUGUGAUACACUUUCAACGAGUCGGAUUGUUUGGGAAUGCAGUCCAAAAUGGGUGGUAAAUUUCAUCUAAAGCUAAAUAUUGGCGAGAGACCGAUAGCGAACAAGUACCGUGAGGGAAAGAUGAAAAGAACUUUGAAAAGAGAGUUAAGCAGUACGUGAAAUUGUCAAAAGGGAAGCGUUUGACACCAGUGUUGUUUUUCCGAAAAUCAAUUACGAAUGUUUUAGUUUUUGAGGAGUUAUGACUUCAUCGGCUUGCUUCUCUCUUUAUGAAACUUUCUUAAUGCACUUUUCGGUUAACAAGUCAACAUCAAUUUCUUUUGUUGUAAAAGGGUAUGAGGAAGGUGGCUUUCUUUUCGGAGAAAGUGUUUAUAGCCUUGUGACCUCUGCAAUCGGAGAGAUUGAGGUCUGCAGCGUAGAUCCUUCGGGGUUAGAUACAGUUUGUGCUAAGUUAUAGCUUUUCAUAGACAACUUGUUGACUAUGUUUAGUCUUGUAGCUUACUCGCUGAUGCUAUUUUACCUACGCUUAGGAUGUUGAGCGCAUGUCUCUCUCU
rnacentral:rRNA from 1 species